rnacentral:misc_RNA from 1 species
AGCAGGAACGCGAUCGGCGUGGCCAGCGCCCCGUAGGUGUAGCCGGUGGUCGUGAUCCACGAGAUGUAGAGCCGCAACCCGAUGCUCGACAGCAGGAACACGGCCAUCGCGAGGAUGGCGCCGGGCAGGCCCCGGUGCCACGGCAGCUUCCUGGGCAGCGCCAGCUUGUAGAGCGUGGUCAGCGCCAGCACGAUGACCAGCCCCAGCACCGGGUAGUAGGCGAGGUCCACCCAGUAGGUGACGUCGUCGCGCCACGCCGUCGGGAAGAUCUUGGGCAGCAGGUCGGGUCCCAGCGUCAGCACCGGCAGGCCGACCACCAGCAGCACCAGCGCCGCCAUGUACAGCAGCAGCGCGAAGAUCCGCUGCCACACCUCGUUGCGCACGCCGUACUGGUCGUGCGCCACGGUGAUGGCGUCGACGAACGAGGACAUGGCCGAACUGCCCGCCCACAGCGAGAUGAGGAAGCCGACCGUGAGGAUCUCGC